rnacentral:rRNA from 1 species
AGUGAACGCUGGCGGUAGGCCUAACACAUGCAAGUCGAACGGCAGCACAGAGGAGCUUGCUCCUCGGGUGGCGAGUGGCGGACGGGUGAGGAAUACAUCGGAAUCUACUCUGUCGUGGGGGAUAACGUAGGGAAACUUACGCUAAUACCGCAUACGACCUCCGGGUGAAAGCAGGGGACCUUCGGGCCUUGCGCGAUUGAAUGAGCCGAUGUCGGAUUAGCUAGUUGGCGGGGUAAAGGCCCACCAAGGCGACGAUCCGUAGCUGGUCUGAGAGGCUGACCAGCCACACUGGAACUGAGACACGGGCCAGAGUCCUACGGGAGGCAGCAGUGGAUAAUAUUGGACAAUGGGAUCGAGCCUUAUCCAGCCAUACCGCGUGGGUGAAGAAGGCCUUCGGGUUGUAAAGCCCUUUUGUUGGGAAAGAAAUCCAGCUGGCUAAUACCUGGUUGGGAUGACGGUACCCAAAGAAUAAUCACCGGCUAACUUCGUGCCAGCCGCCGCGGUAA